rnacentral:rRNA from 1 species
UAGGGAAUCUUCCGCAAUGGACGCAAGUCUGACGGAGCAACGCCGCGUGAGUGAAGAAGGAUUUCGGUUCGUAAAACUCUGUUGUUAGAGAAGAACAGCGCAUAGAGUAACUGUUAUGCGUGUGACGGUAUCUAACCAGAAAGCCACGGCUAACUACGUGCCAGCAGCCGCGGUAAUACGUAGGUGGCAAGCGUUGUCCGGAUUUAUUGGGCGUAAAGCGAGCGCAGGCGGUCAAUUAAGUCUGAUGUGAAAGCCCCCGGCUCAACCGGGGAGGGUCAUUGGAAACUGGUUGACUUGAGUGCAGAAGAGGAGAGUGGAAUUCCAUGUGUAGCGGUGAAAUGCGUAGAUAUAUGGAGGAACACCAGUGGCGAAGGUGACUCUCUGGUCUGUAACUGACGCUGAGGCUCGAAAGCGUGGGUAGCAAACAGG